UUCAAAAAUCAAGGACUUGCA
rnacentral:miRNA from 1 species